AGUGAACGCUGGCGGUAGGCCUAACACAUGCAAGUCGAACGGCAGCACAGUAAGAUCUUGCUCUUACGGGUUGCGAGUGGCGGACGGGUGAGGAAUACAUCGGACUCUACUUUUUCGUGGGGGAUAACGUAGGGAAACUUACUCUAAUACCGCAUACGACCUACGGGUGAAAGCAGCGGAUCUUCGGACCUUGCGCGAUUGAAUUAGCCGAUGUCGGAUUAGCUAGUUGGCUGGGUAAAGGCCCACCAAGGCGACGAUCCGUAGCUGGUCUGAGAGGAGGAUCGGCGAAACGGGAAGUGAGACAGGGUCCAGACGCCUACGGGAGGCAGCAGUGGGGAAUAUUGGACAAUGGGGGCAAGCAUGAUACAGCGAGACCGAGUGGGAGAAGAAGGCCUUGGGGUUGUAAAGACCUUUUGUUGGGAAAGAAAAGCAGCAGGUUAAUACGCCGCUGUUGUGACGGUACCCAAAGAAUAAGCACCGGCUAACUUCGUG
rnacentral:rRNA from 1 species